UCGGGUGGGCCCACGUGUCCCCUGGCGUACGUCGGAGGCAGAGCCGUACUCCUCGCGAGCACGGACCAGCAGCGGUUGGAGUGGAGCCAUAAGGCUGACAGGAAGGUAGGUCGGGUCGGGCUUGCCCGCUCGACAACUUACAGACUGGCUGUCCGGCGCUCCACUCGGACCGAGGAAAGGGGGCAGCUCUUGCCCGGUGUGGUGCACGCCGUAUGGCGGGGCCUCCCGUCGAGGGCGAGCCGUGCGGGGUUGACUGCUUGCAGUGCUCACCGUCACGGUGGACCCACGGUCGGAGAGUGUCACUUGUGCACCAGUGCUGCUGGUAUUCGGAC
rnacentral:misc_RNA from 2 species